AUGUACAGGCCUACAACAUAGCAUUAAUGCACCAAAUCCCAUUGGAAAUCCAUAGUUAAGCACGCUUAGGCUAGAGUAGUAUUGUGAUGGGUGACCGCUCAGGAAGUGCUAGUAUUUUACAUG
rnacentral:rRNA from 1 species